rnacentral:misc_RNA from 1 species
AACAAGCAAAAAGCUCAUAAUGCACUUCUGGGUCCAUGAUCAAGAAUAUACAUUUCCUAUCGUUCAAAAAUAAAUAUGCUCUUAGAAAUUUUCACAAGUUGCAUAUUGUUCAACCAACUACAAAAAUUUGCUAUGCUGUAAAUACAAACAACUGCUACUAAUUGUCUAGAGGAAACGUACAAGUGGAAAUCAUAGACCAAUGAGGUAUAAAUUACAUGGGGGAAAAAACAUGAUCGAUUCUAUGGUAUAUCCUUCUCUGUUGGGGAUUUCGGCAGCUAAAUUCUGCUUUACAUGCACGUCCUAUGAGAAUAAGCACCAUGCCCAAAUUCUCCUGCUGCUGUCACCUUAUCUUCCUGCUGCAUCACCAAAUUAAUGUUAGCAGAUGCCCAAGACAUGAGCAGAUGAAGAGAUCAAAACCACAUGAUGAUUACUGGAAAGAAAGGUAAUUACGACAUUCUUCAAUGAUAGAAGAAAAAAUGGAAUGGAGAUUCAAGAUAACUAAGAUUUAAAUCAUGCUAAUGCUAUACUUGUGCUUGUUUAUGUGUAUACAUAUAAACAACUUCUUUUUUCUUUAAAAAAAAAGAAACUAAAACUCUAUUAUCAGUUCAGAACUAUCAUACAGUAUAAUUAUAGGGAAAACAAAUGAUAGCUUCUAGCCUUAAAGGGAUAUUCAGCAAAUUUAACACAGUAACAGCAGUUGGAUGCACCUAUAAUGCCCAAAGUAGGGCAAGAACUAAAUAAAUAGGGUUUUUAGCCACCCAACUCAGCCUCAAGUCCUAUAAAGGUAGGAUUGGUUUAUUGGUUAUAUGGAUCCAUUUCCUCCACUAUGUUUGGUUUAGGAAUGCACUUUCAAAACCCUGUUAGCCACUCAUUUGACGAAAAUCAACAAUCAUCUGAAGCACACAUUAACUUCAGUACAUUAAAACAAAGGAUUUAUAAGGGCCAUUCAAUUUGCUUUCUCUCUCUCCAUUGAUUACCAGGUCAUAAUGCUACUGACAGCUAGGAAUCCAUUUUUCGAGUAGGCUGUAGUUGCAACAGCUGUACAUUUGGCAAGCUUCCUAGAAAUUAUAGGGGCACCUAAUACAACUAAUUAAGUAGGGCAUAGUGUCUAGAGCUGUACAUUUGGGAGGCCUUGAAGAAAUUGCAAGGAUGCCUGUCUACCCAUUAUAAUUCAACAACACUCUCUGUAACAAUGAUAGCAUGCUAGCUAUAGUAUUGGCUUACUUGCAGGAAAUUCAAGAACAGCCAAGCAGAU